GAUGAACGCUAGCGGCAGGCCUAACACAUGCAAGUCGAGGGGCAGCAGGAUGGUAAGUUUACUUAUUAUGGAUGGCGACCGGCGGACGGGUGCGUAACGCGUAUGCAACCUACCCGUAACUGGGGGAUAAUCUGGAGAAAUCUGGUCUAAUAUCCCAUAAUACUUUGGAUGGCAUCAUUUGAAGUUGAAAGCUCAGGCGGUUACGGAUGGGCAUGCGUUGUAUUAGGUAGUUGGUGAGGUAAUGGCUCACCAAGCCUACGAUACAUAGGGGGACUGAGAGGUUAGCCCCCCACACUGGUACUGAGACACGGACCAGACUCCUACGGGAGGCAGCAGUGAGGAAUAUUGGUCAAUGGACGCAAGUCUGAACCAGCCAUGCCGCGUGCAGGAAGACGGCUCUAUGAGUUGUAAACUGCUUUUGUACUAGGGUAAAUGCGGAUACGUGUAUCCGUUUGAAAGUAUAGUACGAAUAAGGAUCGGCUAACUCCGUGCCAGCAGCCGCGGUAAUACKGAGGAUCCAAGCGUUAUCCGGAUUUAUUGGGWUUAAAGGGUGCGUAGGCGGCUAUUUAAGUUAGAGUGAAAUCUCACGGCUCAACCGUGAAACUGCCUCUGAUACUGGAUAGCUAGCAAUUAGAUGCGGUAGGCGGAAUGUGUGGUGUAGCGGUGAAAUGCUUAGAGAUCACACAGAACACCGAUUGCGAAGGCAGCUUACCAAUCUAUUUUGGACGCUGAGGCACGAAAGCGUGGGGAGCAAACAGGAUUAGAUACCCUGGUAGUCCACGCUGUAAACGAUGAUAACUCGUUGUCGGCGAUAUACAGUCGGUGACCAAGCGAAAGCGAUAAGUUAUCCACCUGGGGAGUACGUUCGCAAGAAUGAAACUCAAAGGAAUUGACGGGGGCCCGCACAAGCGGAGGAACAUGUGGUUUAAUUCGAUGAUACGCGAGGAACCUUACCCGGGCUUGAAAGUUAGUGACGAUUCUGGAAACAGGAUUUCCCUUCGGGGCACGAAACUAGGUGCUGCAUGGUUGUCGUCAGCUCGUGCCGUGAGGUGUCGGGUUAAGUCCCAUAACGAGCGCAACCCCUAUCGUUAGUUACCAGCGAGUUAAGUCGGGGACUCUAACGAGACUGCCUGUGUAAGCAGAGAGGAAGGUGGGGAUGACGUCAAAUCAGCACGGCCCUUACGUCCGGGGCGACACACGUGUUACAAUGGUCGGUACAGAGGGCAGCUACUUGGUGACAGGAUGCGAAUCUCGAAAGCCGAUCUCAGUUCGGAUUGGAGGCUGAAACCCGCCUCCAUGAAGUUGGAUUCGCUAGUAAUCGCGCAUCAGCCAUGGCGCGGUGAAUACGUUCCCGGGCCUUGUACACACCGCCCGUCAAGCCAUGGGAGUCGGGGGUGCCUGAAGUACGUGACCGCAAGGAGCGUCCUAGGGCAAAACUGAUGACUGGGGC
rnacentral:rRNA from 1 species